AGUAGGGUGGCUGAGUUUUAUAGGCAAUAAAUUGUAAAUUUAUUUACAGGUGUUAACCUUCUUACUA
rnacentral:tRNA from 1 species